rnacentral:lncRNA from 1 species
ACUCUCAGAGUCUCCAAACUGCUGCUCCAUAACCCUUCUGAUCUGGGUGAGUCACAGUGCUCAGGCCUGCUGGGAGGCAGGCGGUAAUGAAAAUCCACCAAACUCCUACACCACCUGCGGUUUGUGGGCCGUUACCACCUCGCGGUUUGUUGGGCCGGUUCGUAGAUACAGAGCAGGAGGUUGGAGCAUUUUUUUUUUUUUUUUGUUCUAGAGAAUGAAGAAGAAUAGGAAAGUUUUUAAGCCGGUCCUUCGCCACCAUGAAAAUAGACUGGAUUUUGAUCGCCUGGCUGAGUCAUCUAGUGUGGUGGCAGGCGGCUGAACGUGCACAGCGCUGAGGCGAGCCUGACUAGGCCGGAGGAGAAAAACGCACAACCUGCAUGUUCGACGGUGAAGAUAUUCUGCAGCUGUGUUCACCGCGCUACCCUCCAGCUGUACUUUUAUGCAUGCGUGCCUGCACAAUGCCAAAUGCAGAACAGACUGUGAGGAGUCAGCCAGCUCAUGUACCAAUGAUUAUUCCUCCAUCCACCAUUAUCCUCCAUUGCCACGUGCGCCUAAGGUUGCAGACCCCUGAGUAAAACCUUUGCUGUUCCCCCGGGACAGGUCUGAUGCUUUCAGAAGAGCAAUUUAUUGUGGAUUAUGCAGAGGAAUUAUUGAGCCCCACUCCAUAAAGGCAAGCUUAAUGACAAAUGAGACACUGUCGGCUGGAGUGCCAAUGUAAAUUGCACCUUCAAAACAGGGCAGGGGACCGCGGUGCUCGCUUAUAGGAGAAUUAGAGUAAUACGUCUCCAGAAGCUUUGUGUCAGGCUGAGCGUAGGAAAUAGGGAGUAUUAUUACUUAAGGGAGUAUUUGUAUAUGUGCAAAGACACCAGCGUGCCACUUCCUGUCUGUAAGAUGCACCGUGGCGGAUAUGCUUUAUUACUGUUGAUGUAAAUGGGAGUACGACGAACCACAGUGUCAGAGUAGAUUUAUAGAUCAAUUAUAGAGAUCAGGAGCUAAUUCGGGGCAACGCACCAGUCCACCAUACCAGAGCUUUAACUGAAUCACCUUGCGCAUUAGACAGGAUGAAUACAUUGGACACAGAUAAAGCCCUCUGUCAAAUUCGGUGGAAAGAUUGAGGCUAACACACCCUCAUUAUUCAGUAAUCCGAUUCAUAGGCGUCUGCUAAUGAGGGAUUUUUGACAUGCAUAGCGACAUCAACCUGAGCAGCCCGAAUUGUCCUUUUAGCAAAUUUGCAUCUCAUUAAAUUGAAUUUACUGGUGACUGUCAUAAUUUUGUCUGGUAAAACAGGAGUUUGAUGGUAAAGGGCAUGGAACGAUAUGGAGACUUACGGGCGUGCGGGAGACAACCGUAAUGAUAUUUCAUGGCAUGUCUUCGGAUUUUAAAAAGGAAGAAUGUGGCGAUUAUCUCCAUUUGAGAGGCGAUUACUUUAAAGGGGUCAAGAGGCUAAUAAAUGAAUUACAUCUCUGGAAGCUCAGUUCCCAGCCAUGCGCUAAUGUCUCGGACGACUAAUUGUAGGAAUUUAAUCUAGCGUUCCUGACCGGUCCGAGUGAAUGAUCCGGCUCUCUCUUCUCACUAAGAGAUGAAGCUGCUGUCAUUAUUCUUGAAUUGUGCUUGCCUGAAAGCCGAAUGACCACAAAAUGCCUGACCGCCACUUACGAGAUAAGCAUUAGCUAAGUUUACGUAACGCUAAUGUAGCCGCUGAUAACCACAAACAGGGAACCACAACAUUACUCAGAGGUAAACGAGAAAAAAAGCCCAUUUGAGGAAAUUCACUAAGAAUUAAUUGCUACUGCUGAUAGCAGUAUUUGUUUGUGAGCUCUGUGUGCAUUAAGCGUCCAAUGCACUGCACUGUGUGAACUAUGCUAAUAUGCUAAUGGCGCAAUUUCUGUGUGGAUGUAUGUUUGAGCUGAAAAUAAUGACAGUGACCUUAUUUAUAUAUAUACACACCUUAUUUUUUACGCAAGAGUUACUACUUUUACUAUGAAUUGUUUUGCUGUCAGCUGCUUCCAGUUUGUUUUACUGCUUUAUAUUGCCAAAAAUUAUUUUUUAUUUAUUAUCAUAAUCAUUAACAUACUGGUUUGGUGUGUACAAAGGUUGACCAUUUACUGCACCUUCCUCAAUUUUUAUUUUAUUU